rnacentral:rRNA from 1 species
UACGUAGGGUGCAAGCGUUGUCCGGAAUUAUUGGGCGUAAAGAGCUCGUAGGCGGUCUGUUACGUCGGAUGUGAAAACCCGAGGCUUAACCUCGGGCCUGCAUUCGAUACGGGCAGACUCGAGUGUGGUAGGGGAGACUGGAACUCCUGGUGUAGCGGUGAAAUGCGCAGAUAUCGGGAGGAACACCAGUAGCGAAGGCGGCUCGCUGGGCCACACCUGACGCUGAGACGCGAAAGCUAGGGGAGCGAACAGG